rnacentral:lncRNA from 1 species
UACAAUGAUUUAAGUUGACUCAACUACUAUUCUGGACAAAGAAAGAUAACUCCAAUCAAUUGAAAAUUUCUUGCUAUUGCACAAUAUUGUGCAAUUAGAUAUUUCUGGCUAUUGCGCAAUACUGUGCAAUUGAAAAUAUUUGCUAUUGCACAAUACUGUGCAAUUGAAGAUUUCUUGCUAUUGCGCAAUACUGAGCAAUUGAAAAUUUCUUGCUAUUGCACAAUACUGUGCAAUUGAAGAUUUCUUGCUAUUGCUGAAUACUAUGCAAUUGAAAAUUUCUUGCUAUUGCACAAUACUUAAUAUAAUAAUUUUGGAUCCUGAUUUGAACCAACUUGAAAACUGGGCCCAUAAACAAAAAUCUAAGUACAUGUGUAGAUUCAGCAUAUCAAAAAAGCCCAAGAAUUCAAUUUUUGUUAAAAUCAAAUUUAGUUUAAUUUUGGACCCUUUGGACUUUAAUGUAGAC